AUUGAACGCUAGCGGGAUGCCUUACACAUGCAAGUCGAACGGAGUGGCGAACGGGUGAGUGAUGUAUCGGUACGUGCCCAGUAGCGGGGGAUGACUACACGAAAGCGUAGCUAAAACCACAAACUAUUGCAGCGGCAGAUGUCGGAUGAGCUAGUUGGGGGGGUAACGGCUCACCCAGGCGACGAUCCGUAGCUGGUUUUGGAGUGCGACCAGCCACACUGGGACUGAGACACGGCCCAGACUCCUACGUGAGGCAGCAGUGGGGAAUUUGGGACAAUGGGGGCAACCCUGAUCCAGCCAUCCCGCGUGUGCGAUGAAGGCCUUCGGGUUGUAAAGCACUUUUGGCAGGAAGGCGGUACCUGCAGAAGAAGCACCGGCUAACUCCGUGCCAGCAGCCGCGGUAAUUC
rnacentral:rRNA from 1 species